ACUGCAGUCAAAAUGUCAUCUGGAUCCUUACCAACAUUGGGUAAGAAAUUCUACUUCUUUUACAAGUACUGUUUGUGGAAAGUGCAAUGAAUGCCAGGACUGGUGAAAAUGUGGCUGGAGAAUAGCCAAGGUCAGAUCAUUAAGAGCCUGUUUAGCAAGUGGGAGAGUCUAGUGGAUGAGGGUAUAAGCUCAAUAUUUAACAGUUCAGCAACCCUGGGGAAGUUGCUUAAUCCUUCUGUGCCUCGGUUUCUUCAUCUGCACUAGGGGAUGCUGCUGCUGCUGUUGCUGCUGAGAGUACUACUACCUAAUCCAUCCAAGUGUGGUGAGGAAUCAAUGGGAAUAUGCAUGGAAAGAAUUUAGUUCCAGAAAGGAUGAAAAGCAGCACAGAUAAAUCUAUGUAAACUCCAGGGACGGGCACCAGGGCACUCUCUUCUUCCACAUCUGCCACGAAGCUGGUGGGCUUGCAACGACAGCCACGCGCUUUGCUCAUCCGUGCCCUUUCCACCAAAGAACUCUGUUUUGCAAGGCUAUUUAACCAGAGAAGAAGUGACUUUUACUUAAAUGCCUCCUUAAGACUGUUAGAUUUUUUUUAAGGGGAAAAAAAAUCGAGAAGGGAAAAAAGAGUAUUGCAGAUGCUAUAAACUCUGAAGACUGACCUCUGGUAUUAUGGAGACUUCCACUUAAGGGUCACCUUUUUGAUGCACUGGUGUACGGGGCUUUUUUUUUCCCCCUCCUUUCCUUUCUAGGAUUAUUAGACAGCUGAGGAAGUCCUGCAUCAUUAAUUGAUUUCUCCCAUGCAUUGUGCUAUGAUACAAUUUUUCAAGGCUGUGCAUAAUUGUGUUCUCUGUGCCAGCGUUCUGUGUUCUGUCCUUGUCAUAUUGUCAUUGAAGGCUGUUUCCACCCUCCGUAAUUGGAGAUGUUCUACUUUUGGACAAAGGUGUGGGGGGCAGCUCAGGGGAACAGCGCUGACAUUUACUUCAUCAAUUUAUUUUUAUUGUUCCUACAUUUAUUGCAGCUAUAACAGCCCUUUAAUAGUUAUAUCUCCUCCCUGUAGGGUAUUCUGGUAUUUGAAAUUUUUUUAACUCAUUUGUUCUCAUAGAUAACAGUAAAGUGCAUUUCAGGAUAACCUUUAGGUUUCAAUCUCGCUCUUCUUUUGGCUCUGAGGCAGUCUUCGCUUUAAACUUUUACUGCCUUGCCCGUCUAAAGGCCAGAGCGCCAAGUUCAUUCUAGCACUGGAGGAACCACAAAUUAGUGGUCCUGAAAAUUUCAGGGAGGUUAGUCCGAAACCAAGAGUGCAGCUA